AUGUCUAGUGGUGCCAAUGAAACAGAGAACUUCACUGUAUCUUCAGUCUCAGAGUUGCAAAAUGAGCGAACUGAAGUGGCUGCAUCGGAAACUCCAACGGUCGGUAACUUCAAAGAUGACAACCAGGUCAUGAUACUGGAGACACCCAUCCAUGUUUCCCAAGACACCCCUCAGGAUGUUGAAGAAGUUGCAGUCAAUAUAGCUGGGAUGAUCUUAUCAAAGGCGCUGUUUGAGGCUGCUGGUAAAGGCCAGAGUGUUUCCAGAGACUCUGAAGCACAGCCCCUUUUGGUUGGUGCCUUUGAAGCCAGUGGUAGCCAUGCCUUGGAUGAAGCCCAGGUUGAUGAAUCAGACGUUCAAGGGGACAGUUUGAUAUCCCAUGAGAACUCAGUUUGUCCUGAAGGCAAUCCCCAAGAUUCUUCAUCUCCCACCCAAGCUGAGAAGGUUGAAGGGAAAGCACUCAAAACCACCAUUGCCAUAUUGCUGGACAGCUCCAAUACUGAAGCUGAACGAGAAACAGGGCCCAUUCAAGACCAGCAACCAAGAAUAGAAGGAGCAAGUGGUCAGGAUGUUGAAACUCAUAAGGAUGUUGAAACUGAUGGAAACAGUGAUGGAAGCAUGGAAGAAACAGAAAUUUCCCCUAAAGCCACCAAUACCCAGAUUAUCUCUAGCUUCUUCUCAAAUGAUAAAAAAGAGGAUUAUGCCAAACUGCCUCUGGGAUUCUUGUUCAAGGCUCAGGCAAUUCAAGCUUAUGCUUCGGAUGAUGAUAACCACCUUCAGUUUGGAAAAGGAGAGACCAUACUAGUGCUUUCAGAUGCCCAGGCCGAGGAAAAGGGAUUCCUGAUGGGUAUAAAGGAGAGUGACUGGAUGGCAAACCAGAAUAUGUUGCAAAAAGGCAUUUUCUCCCCCAGCACCAUCAAAUCUCCCACCUCGGCAUAA
rnacentral:lncRNA from 1 species